AUUGAACGCUGGCGGCAGGCCUAACACAUGCAAGUCGAGCGAGCGGCGGACGGGUGAGUAAUGUCUGGGAAACUGCCUGAUGGAGGGGGAUAACUACUGGAAACGGUAGCUAAUACCGCAUACCAUCAGAUGUGCCCAGAUGGGAUUAGCUAGUAGGUGGGGUAAUGGCUCACCUAGGCGACGAUCCCUAGCUGGUCUGAGAGGAUGACCAGCCACACUGGAACUGAGACACGGCCCAGACUCCUACGGGAGGCAGCAGUGGGGAAUAUUGCACAAUGGGCGCAAGCCUGAUGCAGCCAUGCCGCGUGUGUGAAGAAGGCCUUCGGGUUGUAAAGCACUUUCAGUGGGGAGGCGUUACCGGCAGAAGAAGCACCGGCUAACUCCGUGCCAGCAGCCGCGGUAAUUC
rnacentral:rRNA from 1 species